rnacentral:lncRNA from 1 species
UGAGAACACUGAGUUUAAAUUAGAUAAUAAUAAAUGGGAGAGUAUUAAUACUUAUAAAUGGACAGAACAAUCAAAGAACUUGGUGAUUAAUGCUCUAUCCACUGAUUAUAUCAGAGAAGAAAUUAUUAUUCUGGAAAUACUUGAUAUUAAUAAAACUGAAGAUGGUGUUGAUGAAGCAGUUGAAAAGCUAACACAUUUUUGCAAAAUAUUUCUGAGAUAGCAUGUAAGAAAUUUUUGGAAGUAACAAAAAAAAAGAAAGAAAAAAAAA